UAUAUUUUCAGAAUUUGGUGAGUAUAUCUGUUAAUUCUUUUUAUCACUAAAACUAAAUAAAAUACACAGCCAAAUGUAAUAUCUUUACAGUAUCAUUCUGUUGUAGCCUAAUACACAGAUUUUAUGGCUUAAUUGUAAAAUUUGUAGGUCAUAAUUGGGGGAGUGAACAUGACCCGGACACUGAUAACUGCGCCCCCUCCACUUCAGACGGUGGCCGCUUUAUCACGUAUCCUUCCGCCGUCUCUGGAUACGAAAAAAAUAAUCAGCUCUUUUCGCCAUGUAGUAAACAGUACAUUUACAAAGUUGUAAUGAUGAAAGGAUAUGACUGCUUUAAAGAGGCAUCAGACUCAGGACAGGGCUUAUGUGGUAAUGGCCGUCUGGACAAGAAUGAAGAAUGUGAUGCUGGCUACACACAC